rnacentral:rRNA from 1 species
GAGUAAUGCUUAGGAAUCUGCCUAUUAGUGGGGGACAACAUUCCGAAAGGAAUGCUAAUACCGCAUACGCCCUACGGGGGAAAGCAGGGAUCUUCGGACCUUGCGCUAAUAGAUGAGCCUAAGUCGGAUUAGCUAGUUGGUGGGGUAAAGGCCUACCAAGGCGACGAUCUGUAGCGGGUCUGAGAGGAUGAUCCGCCACACUGGACUGAGACACGGCCCAGACUCCUACGGGAGGCAGCAGUGGGGAAUAUUGGACAAUGGGCGGAAGCCUGAUCCAGCCAUGCCGCGUGUGUGAAGAAGGCCUUUUGGUUGUAAAGCACUUUAAGCGAGGAGGAGGCUACUGGUACUAAUACUACUGGAUAGUGGACGUUACUCGCAGAAUAAGCACCGGCUAACUCUGUGCCAGCAGCCGCGGUAAUACAGAGGGUGCGAGCGUUAAUCGGAUUUACUGGGCGUAAAGCGUGCGUAGGCGGCUGAUUAAGUCGGAUGUGAAAUCCCUGAGCUUAACUUAGGAAUUGCAUUCGAUACUGGUCAGCUAGAGUAUGGGAGAGGAUGGUAGAAUUCCAGGUGUAGCGGUGAAAUGCGUAGAGAUCUGGAGGAAUACCGAUGGCGAAGGCAGCCAUCUGGCCUAAUACUGACGCUGAGGUACGAAAGCAUGGGGAGCAAACAGGAUUAG